rnacentral:tRNA from 1 species
GGGCGAAUAGCUCAGCUGGUAGAGCGCUUCGUUUACACCGAAGGAGUCGGGGGUUCGAGUCCCUCUUCGCCCA